AUUGAACGCUGGCGGCAGGACUAAAACAUGCAAGUCGAACGAGUGGCGGACGGGUGCGUAAUGUCUGGGAAACUGCCUGAUGGAGGGGGAUAACUCCUGGAAAGGGUAGCUAAUACCGCAUACCAUCAGAUGUGCCCCGAUGGGAGUAGCUUGUUGGUGGGGUAACGGCUCACCAAGGCGACGAUACCUAGCUGGUCUGAGAGGCGGACCAGGCACACUGGAACUGAGACAAGGUCCAGACUCCUACGGGAGGCAGCAGUGGGGAAUAUUGCACAAUGGGCGCAAGCCUGAUGCAGCCAUGCCGCGUGUAUGAAGAAGGCCUUCGGGUUGUAAAGUACUUUCAGCGGGGAGGCGUUACCCGCAGAAGAAGCACCGGCUAACUCCGUGCCAGCAGCCGCGGUAAUAC
rnacentral:rRNA from 1 species